rnacentral:tRNA from 2 species
CGGGGCGUGGCUCAGCUUGGUAGAGCGCUUGGUUCGGGACCAAGAGGUCGCGUGUUCGAAUCACGUCGCCCCGA